rnacentral:lncRNA from 1 species
AUCUGCAAUCGAAGAAUUAUGUUUUCUCAAAUGCACUUUCAAGCCCUGUUCGACGAAGCCUGCAGAACUAUCAAAUUGCUCAAGGAGGUUUCCUUUUAAACAACGUUCAGCCUUCAAAUGGAGCAAGAAACAACGAAACGAAUGUCCAGCAGCAAAAUAGGGAGUCCAAUAGCAGUAACUCUGCUGAUGCGUCCAUGGAUAUGCAUUCUGAUAGCCCAGGUCAUGAUUUUACUUACGAUGAAACGAAUGUUCAGCAGCAAAAUAGGGAGUCCAAUAGCAGUACCUCUGCUGAUGCGUCGAUGGAUAUGCAUUCUGAUAGCCCAGGUCAUGAUUUUACUUACUGAAGUAGUCUGUAAAUAAAAUGUUUCAGGAGCUGCUUCUUGUCAUGCCGUGGUGUUCUAGCAGCAAGUUCAUGUUGAUUGAUUAUCGUGUGUUGAGCAGUUAUCAAGGAGUAAAAUGCAUUGUUGAACUGGCUGUUUGAUGCAGAGAUUGAAAGGUGCGUUCAUGCUCGUAUAUUGUCGUAAUGUAGAGAUGCACAUGUGGUCUCAAGUAAAACGCAAUGUGAUGGGCACCAUUAGUUCUCGAAUGCAAUGUUGUUCUGCUGAACUAGUUAGUUCUUUUCGGUCUUCAUUGAUAUUAUGAAGUGUUUCUUUAGUAGUACAAAUAUAUAUGAUUGUGCUCACUUGUUGCAUUCUUCGAUUGCAUAUGUUUUUUCAGUCGGCAUACUGGCAUCUUUUGCCAAGUCCAUGUUUUUAGUGAUUCUCCAAGUUGUCAGAAUGUGAAUAAAAUGAACUUCGUCAGUACAAAAGGGAAAAUUGAGCAUUAGAGACCACUUUGCCCCAUAUACCAGUGUUUCAGCCCAGAUCCUUUCCAGGAAAAUUGAGCA